GAUGAACGCUGGCGGCGUGCUUAACACAUGCAAGUCGAACGAGAAGUGAAGACGGAACCCUUCGGGCGGAAGGCUUUAUUUCGAGUGGCGGACGGGUGAGUAACGCGUGGGUAACCUGCCUCAUACAGGGGGAUAACAGUUGGAAACGACUGUUAAUACCGCAUAAGACCACAGCACCGCAUGGUGCGGGGGUAAAAACUCCGGUGGUAUGAGAUGGACCCGCGUUCGAUUAGCCAGUUGGCGGGGUAACGGCCCACCAAAGCGACGAUCGAUAGCCGAUCUGAGAGGAUGACCGGCCACAUUGGGACUGAGACACGGCCCAAACUCCUGCGGGAAGCAGCAGUGGGGAAUAUUGCACAAUGGGGGAAACCCUGAUGCAGCGACGCCGCGUGAGUGAAGAAGUAUUUCGGUAUGUAAAGCUCUAUCAGCAGGGAAGAAAAUGACGGUACCUGAGUAAGAAGCCCCGGCUAACUACGUG
rnacentral:rRNA from 1 species